rnacentral:rRNA from 1 species
GAUGAUGCCCAGCUUGCUGGGCGGAUUAGUGGCGAACGGGUGAGUAAUACGUGAGUAACCUGCCCUUGACUCUGGGAUAAGCCUGGGAAACUGGGUCUAAUACUGGAUACUACCUCUUACCGCAUGGUGGGUGGUGGAAAGGGUUUUACUGGUUUUGGAUGGGCUCACGGCCUAUCAGCUUGUUGGUGGGGUAAUGGCUCACCAAGGCGACGACGGGUAGCCGGCCUGAGAGGGUGACCGGCCACACUGGGACUGAGACACGGCCCAGACUCCUACGGGAGGCAGCAGUGGGGAAUAUUGCACAAUGGGCGGAAGCCUGAUGCAGCGACGCCGCGUGAGGGAUGACGGCCUUCGGGUUGUAAACCUCUUUCAGUAGGGAAGAAGCGAGAGUGACGGUACCUGCAGAAGAAGCGCCGGCUAACUACGUGCCAGCAGCCGCGGUAAUACGUAGGGCGCAAGCGUUGUCCGGAAUUAUUGGGCGUAAAGAGCUCGUAGGCGGUUUGUCGCGUCUGCUGUGAAAGCCCGGGGCUCAACCCCGGGUCUGCAGUGGGUACGGGCAGACUAGAGUGCAGUAGGGGAGACUGGAAUUCCUGGUGUAGCGGUGAAAUGCGCAGAUAUCAGGAGGAACACCGAUGGCGAAGGCAGGUCUCUGGGCUGUUACUGACGCUGAGGAGCGAAAGCAUGGGGAGCGAACAGGAUUAGAUACCCUGGUAGUCCAUGCCGUAAACGUUGGGCACUAGGUGUGGGGGACAUUCCACGUUUUCCGCGCCGUAGCUAACGCAUUAAGUGCCCCGCCUGGGGAGUACGGCCGCAAGGCUAAAACUCAAAGGAAUUGACGGGGGCCCGCACAAGCGGCGGAGCAUGCGGAUUAAUUCGAUGCAACGCGAAGAACCUUACCAAGGCUUGACAUUCACCGGACCGCCCCAGAGAUGGGGUUUCCCUUCGGGGCUGGUGGACAGGUGGUGCAUGGUUGUCGUCAGCUCGUGUCGUGAGAUGUUGGGUUAAGUCCCGCAACGAGCGCAACCCUCGUUCUAUGUUGCCAGCACGUGAUGGUGGGGACUCAUAGGAGACUGCCGGGGUCAACUCGGAGGAAGGUGGGGAUGACGUCAAAUCAUCAUGCCCCUUAUGUCUUGGGCUUCACGCAUGCUACAAUGGCCGGUACAAAGGGUUGCGAUACUGUGAGGUGGAGCUAAUCCCAAAAAGCCGGUCUCAGUUCGGAUUGAGGUCUGCAACUCGACCUCAUGAAGUCGGAGUCGCUAGUAAUCGCAGAUCAGCAACGCUGCGGUGAAUACGUUCCCGGGCCUUGUACACACCGCCCGUCAAGUCACGAAAGUUGGUAACACCCGAAGCCGGUGGCCUA